rnacentral:tRNA from 1 species
GCCUGGCUGGCCCAAUGGUUAAGGCGUGCGACUUCUAAUCUCAAGAUUGCGGGUUCGAGUCCCGCGUCGGGUU